GAUGAAGAACGUAGUGAAAUGCGAUAAGUAAUGUGAAUUGCAGAAUUCAGUGAAUCAUCGAAUCUUUGAACGCACAUUGCGCCCCCUGGUAUUCCGGGGGGCAUGCCUGUCCGAGCGUCAUUACAACCCUCAAGCUCAGCUUGGUGUUGGGCCCCGCCGCCCCGGCGGGCCCUAAAGUCAGUGGCGGUGCCGUCCGGCUCCGAGCGUAGUAAUUCUUCUCGCUCUGGAGGUCCGGUCGUGUGCUCGCCAGCAACCCCCAAUUUUUUUCAGGUUGACCUCGGAUCAGGUAGGGAUACCCGCUGAACUUAAGCAUAUCAUAAGCGGAGGA
rnacentral:misc_RNA from 1 species